GGAAGUCGGCCCGGCCAGGCGGUCCCCGGGCAGGUGGAGCCGCUGAGGCUGCCCAAAGUGUCCGCAGGGCCGCAGCUGCACCCCAGGAAGGACCCGGAAGGAAAAAAUCCGGGGCUUUUAAUGGGCUGUGGCCCAGUUAUUUCAAGAUUCUGCUCACAAUGCAGAGAAGAUUCAUUUCCGGUAUAUGUUAUUACAAGAAAUUGAAUGUAAUUCCCUGUGCUAUAUACAGAAACAGCAUGCUUAAAUCUGUACACUACUCUGCAGAAAAUCAGAAUGCAAAAAGUAGCUGCUGAAUACAGCCAGGAAGGCAGUGAACUCAAUAAGUUUGUGAGAAACUGUCUUCCGAAGUGGCCGUAUUGAAUUCCCACCAGCAGUGAAGGCGAGCGCCUGUUGUUCCACAUCCCCAGCGGCAUCUGGCAUUGCCAGUGUUCUCUGCAUUUUGGCUGUUCCAAUAGGUAAAGUAUCCACGAAGGAGGCCACUGCAUGACCCGAGCAGCUUACUGCUUGGUCUGUUUGCUGCGCCCGGAUGCCUCGCAGGAGGGGCUCAGCAAGGACGUCACCUUCUCGCAGCAGCCCUCGCAUUCCUGCGCGAGGGCCCGUGUCACUGUGCAGAUCUCUUCGCCACCACCACGACUCUCAACCCUCAGAAGUCAGCGAGGGCCACACGCCACCUCUGAUAUAUAUACAGAUGAGGACAGGGGCCCUGAGAGAUCAGGAGCCUUGCCCAGGUCAGAGUUGGUCAGCUGGAGCCCCCUCGGUGGGAGGGAUGGAAGAGGGUCUGGAUCGGCCCCCUCAACUCUCUCCCCGCCCGCCUGUUCUGUCAUCGGCCCACACCCUCGACGGAGGCCCGCCCCAGGGCGGUGCAGAGCACUAAAAAGGGAAUUCCUCUCUCAUAUCCCAGGCACAGAGUUCACGGAUCUCCACUCUCCCGCAGAUGAACAUGUGUUUUUUGUGGAAAGACCACACAGAGGAGUUGGGAUCUCUUAUGUUGUUUCCAGAUCUGGCCCGCGUUGGCCGUGUGGCCCGAGUCAAAUUAUAGAACCAUGGCCACAUUCAGCUGGAAGGAAUUUAGGGAUUGCCUCUGCUGGUGCAUCAGAACCACCAGGACAGCUCAUUAAAGACAGACUCCUGGGCUUCAGGCCCAGGGUUCUGACUCAGUGGGUCUGGGGUGGCACUGAAGAGCCUGCUUUUCUAGUAAAUUUCCAAAGCGUGCCAACGCCACCGAGCCACGCAGCCCGCUUGUGUAUCACUGGCCUCCGAUAACCUUGUCCUAAGGUGGGCCAGCAAACUUUUUGUUAACGGCCAGCUGGUAAGCAUUUUAGGUUCUGCAGCACGACUCAGCUCUGUCGGUGGAGCUGGACAGCAGCUGUAGGAAUGGCUCUACAGGAAUGAGCGUGUCUGUCUUCUGAUAAACCUUUAUAAACACAGGAGGCCAGUGGGCUGCAGUCCGCUGACUCCUCACCACAGGCUUACAGCAGUUGGAGUCCUUCCCCACCACGCCUCGCUGCCGGCUGUGAAAUGGGGAAAGCUAUUCCUGGUCUCACUUCUCUCCUUAGCUACGAUGAAGACAAGGUACAACCAGAUGGUACAAAUUCAGAAAAAACAUUUUCUGUCCGUUUCCAUCAGUCCCAUAUUAUCAGCUAUACUGUUUUUCAGUAUGGCACCUUCAUUUAUUUUAAUAAUCAUUGGAUUGGCUCUAUAAAUAUCCCCUCUAAUUAUUAGGCCCCAUACAAAAAAUAACAAGGCUGAGAGAUGACAGAAGGGAUCAUUCCGAAGGGUAAUGAAGGAACUUGGUGUCAGAAAAUAAACAG